rnacentral:rRNA from 3 species
GAUGAACGCUGGCGGCGUGCUUAACACAUGCAAGUCGAACGAGCCUUCGGGCUAGUGGCGGACGGGUGAGUAACGCGUGGGAAUCUGCCCUCAGGAGGGGGAUAACGGCCGGAAACGGCCGCUAAUACCCCAUAUGCCGAGAGGUGAAAUGAAUUUCGCCUGAGGAUGAGCCCGCGUCUGAUUAGCUAGUUGGUGUGGUAAUGGCGCACCAAGGCUUCGAUCAGUAGCUGGUCUGAGAGGAUGAUCAGCCACACUGGGACUGAGACACGGCCCAGACUCCUACGGGAGGCAGCAGUGGGGAAUUUUCCGCAAUGGGCGCAAGCCUGACGGAGCAACGCCGCGUGAGGGACGAAGGCCUCUGGGCUGUAAACCUCUUUUCUCAAGGAAGAAGACAUGACGGUACUUGAGGAAUAAGCCACGGCUAAUUCCGUGCCAGCAGCCGCGGUAAUACGGGAGUGGCAAGCGUUAUCCGGAAUUAUUGGGCGUAAAGCGUCCGCAGGCGGCCCAGCAAGUCUGUUGUUAAAAAGUGGAGCUUAACUCCAUCCAGGCAAUGGAAACUGCUGGGCUAGAGUGUGGUAGGGGCAGAGGGAAUUCCCGGUGUAGCGGUGAAAUGCGUAGAUAUCGGGAAGAACACCAGUGGCGAAGGCGCUCUGCUGGGCCAUAACUGACGCUCAUGGACGAAAGCCAGGGGAGCGAAAGGGAUUAGAUACCCCUGUAGUCCUGGCCGUAAACGAUGAACACUAGGUGUCGGGGGAAUCGACCCCCUCGGUGUCGUAGCCAACGCGUUAAGUGUUCCGCCUGGGGAGUACGCACGCAAGUGUGAAACUCAAAGGAAUUGACGGGGGCCCGCACAAGCGGUGGAGUAUGUGGUUUAAUUCGAUGCAACGCGAAGAACCUUACCAGGGUUUGACAUCCUGCGAAUCCCUUGGAAACUUGGGAGUGCCUUCGGGAGCGCAGUGACAGGUGGUGCAUGGCUGUCGUCAGCUCGUGUCGUGAGAUGUUGGGUUAAGUCCCGCAACGAGCGCAACCCACGUCUUUAGUUGCCAGCAUUCAGUUGGGCACUCUAGAGAGACCGCCGGUGAUAAACCGGAGGAAGGUGUGGAUGACGUCAAGUCAUCAUGCCCCUUACAUCCUGGGCUACACACGUACUACAAUGCUACGGACAAAGGGCAGCAAACUCGCGAGAGCUAGCAAAUCCCAUAAACCGUGGCUCAGUUCAGAUCGUAGGCUGCAACUCGCCUACGUGAAGGAGGAAUCGCUAGUAAUCGCAGGUCAGCAUACUGCGGUGAAUACGUUCCCGGGCCUUGUACACACCGCCCGUCACACCAUGGAAGUUGGCCAUGCCCGAAGUCGUUACUCCAACCCGUAAGGGAGGAGGACGCCGAAGGUGGGGCUGAUGACUGGGGUGAAGUCGUAACAAGGUAGCCGUACCGGAAGGUGCGGCUGGAUCACCUCCUAA